AGGGUUCGAUUCUGGCUCAGGAUGAACGCUAGCGGCAGGCUUAACACAUGCAAGUCGAGGGGCAGCGGGAUGUAGCAAUACAUUGCCGGCGACCGGCGGAUGGGUGCGUAACGCGUAUGCAACCUACCUUAUACAGGGGAAUAACCUUUCGAAAGGGAGACUAACACCCCAUAGUAUUGAUUUAAGGCAUCUUAGAUUAAUUAAAUAUUUAUAGGUAUAAGAUGGGCAUGCGUAUGAUUAGCUAGUUGGUAAGGUAACGGCUUACCAAGGCGACGAUCAUUAGGGGUUCUGAGAGGAAGGUCCCCCCACACUGGUACUGAGACACGGACCAGACUCCUACGGGAGGCAGCAGUGAGGAAUAUUGGUCAAUGGGCGCAAGCCUGAACCAGCCAUGCCGCGUGCAGGAAAGACGGCCUUAUGGGUUGUAAACUGCUUUUACAUAAGACUAACCGUAUAUUUGCGAAUAUACCUGAAUGUAUUAUGAGAAUAAGGAUCGGCUAACUCCGUGCCAGCAGCUGC
rnacentral:rRNA from 1 species